rnacentral:lncRNA from 1 species
UUUAUUAUUAUUAACAUGUUGUAAUCAUUACCAUGGGAUGAUGCAAUAGAUCCAUGACGGGAUGGGAUGAUGCAAUAGAUCCAUGACGGGAUACCAUUUUCUGCAAUUCUUAUAGUCAUCACAGUAGGAUUAUGAGCACAUAAAGAGUUUGCAAACUCGAAAGCUGUUUGUUGUUUUGAUCAAAAUAUCGGAAAAUAUGUGGCCUUUUUGGUGGAAAGGACCAUCUGGGUUCUCACCUAGAUCAACAGCCGAGCAAGUUACUCAAGGGAUUGAUGCAACUGGUCUCACUGCCAUAGUUACAGGUCUGAAGCCGAUCCGGGUUUCUUUUGUUUUCAAGUUUUAUGCUUUUUUCUGUUAGAAACUAAACGCACAAGUAUUUGAACCUACUUACUCUAGGAUUUUAAUUUUUAUCUAACAUGUUCAUACUUCGAUCAUUUCUUCUCACAAAGUUUAAGUCUUGUUUGGCUGCUUGGAAAAGCGAAGGAAAACAAAUGAAAAAUAGACCCAUGAAUCUCAUAUACUCUGUUUGUUUGUGUGUGUUUUUUGACGAAGUCAACUAAUCCAAGUAGUUGUGUUAUGUUCAACGUUUCAAGCAGUCAAAAAAAUUUCGAGGUUCGUGAUGAUGAUAUCUGUUUUUUGCUUUUGUUCUGAUUGAAACUUACGGGAAAAAUUAAGACUUGUUCUUGUUCAUUUGUAUAACGGAAUAUGCAAAGUUUCUUUCUUUGGGUGAUCAUUUCUGGGUUUUCGUGCUUUUGCCAGUUUUUUUUUCCUCUGUACAUGGAUGCUAAGCUAUUUUUUAGUUCGUGCAAGAUCUAUAGAGACGAAGUUGAAAAUGUCUGGUGAAUAUAUCGGGGCUUCAAAUUCUUUUUCUAGUUCGUUCUAGGCGCUUGCAGAUGUUAAUAAACUUAUUUGGCCUGGGUAGCUUGUAAUCGUGGUAUGUUUGGAAUUUAAUUACUUUAUUUCACAUAACUAUAUUUGGAGAGGUUUUACAUACCGCUAUACCAGUUUUGUCAUGCUCCAUAGGUGGGGAUCACUAGUUAAUAUUUGGAGUGGAGUUCUCUUUAUCUUCCUGUUUAUAGAGAGUGGUCCACUGCAGAUGGGAUUCAUUUUGGAACUUAUGAUUUAUCAUAUUCUUGGGGCGAGACUUUCUACAUCAGAAUGGAGUUCCUAUAUCAGAAUUUUUCUAUUCGUGUGUUGAUCAGUUGUGGACAGCUUGCUAUAUUUAGGGUUCUGAUGGCAAUAGAUAUACAUUUGCACUUUUAGUAAUUGGUUGGUUAAUCUGUUAAUACAUUCCAUGCCUACUCCAUUUCAGGAGCCUCGAGUGGUAUUGGAACGGAGACCACACGUGUUCUUGCUUUGCGUUGUGCCCAUGUAGU